AGUCGAACGGCAGCACGAGAGAGCUUGCUCUCUUGGUGGCGAGUGGCGGACGGGUGAGUAAUAUAUCGGAACGUGCCUAGUAGCGGGGGAUAACUACUCGAAAGAGUGGCUAAUACCGCAUACGCCCUACGGGGGAAAGGGGGGGAUCGCAAGACCUCUCACUAUUAGAGCGGCCGAUAUCGGAUUAGCUAGUUGGUGGGGUAAAGGCUCACCAAGGCAACGAUCCGUAGCUGGUUUGAGAGGACGACCAGCCACACUGGGACUGAGACACGGCCCACACUCCUACGGGAGGCAGCAGUGGGGAAUUUUGGACAAAGGGGGAAACCCUGAUCCAGCCAUCCCGCGUGUAUGAUGAAGGCCUUCGGGUUGUAAAGUACUUUUGGCAGAGAAGAAAAGGUACCUCCUAAUACCAGGUACUGCUGACGGUAUCUGCAGAAUAAGCACCGGCUAACUACGUGCCAGCAGCCGCGGUAAUACGUAGGGUGCAAGCGUUAAUCGGAAUUACUGGGCGUAAAGCGUGUGUAGGCGGUUCGGAAAGAAAGAUGUGAAAUCCCAGGGCUUAACCUUGGAACUGCAUUUUUAACUGCCGAGCUAGAGUAUGUCAUAGGGGGGUAGAAUUCCACGUGUAACACUGAAAUGCGUAGAUAUGUGCAGGAAUACCGAUGGCGAACGCAGCCCCCUGGGAUAAUACUGACGCUCAGACACGAGGCGUGGGGAGCU
rnacentral:rRNA from 1 species